GAUGAACGCUAGCUACAGGCUUAACACAUGCAAGUCGAGGGGCAGCAUCAUCAAAGCUUGCUUUGAUGGAUGGCGACCGGCGCACGGGUGAGUAACACGUAUCCAACCUGCCGACAACACUGGGAUAGCCUUUCGAAAGAAAGAUUAAUACCGGAUGGCAUAGUUUUCCCGCAUGGGAUAAUUAUUAAAGAAUUUCGGUUGUCGAUGGGGAUGCGUUCCAUUAGGCAGUUGGCGGGGUAACGGCCCACCAAACCUACGAUGGAUAGGGGGUUCUGAGAGGAAGGUCCCCCACAUUGGAACUGAGACACGGUCCAAACUCCUACGGGAGGCAGCAGUGAGGAAUAUUGGUCAAUGGACGAGAGUCUGAACCAGCCAAGUAGCGUGAAGGAUGACUGCCCUAUGGGUUGUAAACUUCUUUUAUACGGGAAUAAAGUUAGCCACGUGUGGUUUUUGUAUGUACCGUAUGAAUAAGGAUCGGCUAACUCCGUG
rnacentral:rRNA from 1 species